rnacentral:snRNA from 1 species
GUGCUCGCUUCGGCAGCACAUAUACUAAAAUUAAAA